CAGGAUGAAUCUUCAGUACUGGACCGCGAUGUUUUAAAAAAAAAUGACUAUCUUCAACGAAAAACAACUGGACAGAUUAUUGUACGUUUUAUUGAACACAUAGAUGUAUCCAUUUUGUGAAUUUGUUGAAGACUAUAUUCGUGUGAUUUAAUUCUAGUUUUACCUGGUUAACUAUAACCUAUGUAAUCGAAUCAAUAUUUAGUAAUGGCCGCGGCGUUCAAUGUAACGCUGUAUCUAUCCUGUUUAUUGUCGUCUAUACAAGUUCAAGUUGUUACAGCCGCGCUCUGUACCUAUAAUUUGUAUGGUCGGUAUGAUACCUACAUCGGCUCAAGCUACAGGUUUUGUACUGGUGGAUGCUGUACUACCGGAAACCACGCCCGUCUUAAAAACGUAUGCUGUGAUACAUCCAUUACCAAUGCCACCAUAGGAAUAGUACUGGGUGUAGUGGUAUUAAUUAUCACGAUCAUUGUGGUGAUACUUAUUAUUGUAUAUUCUUUCCGUAAACGACAACAAGCCACCCAGGGUCAUGUUAUUACAGCGCCAAACACAGCUGUGGUAUAUUCUAAUAAUAUCCAAACAACUACGAUGCAUCCAGGGGUUGGUUACCCUCUACAACAAGGAAGCAAUAGCUCAUCGUCGCUCCCAACUGGACAUUCUGCUAAUCCAUCAUCUUAUGCUAUUGAUACCUCACCUAGACAAGUUAAGAAGGGCUUCGAUACACAUGUCAACAUGAAUUAGUUAUGAUUUAGAGUUGUUACUAACUGUAUAUAGAUAAGAGUUAUUAACUGUAUAUAGUUAGAAUUAUUAUUUUUGAUAUUUUUUUCCGGUGAUGUAGAAUCUU